AUGGUGCCCGGUUAUAGCAAUCUUGGAGAUUACCUGCCCGACGAUGUACAUUAUGAAAUCAUGGAGGUGGACGAACACAAAUACCAUUACGGGAAGCCUCUCGUCAAAGAUGAAAGAUCUCUAACAACGAUGAUGCAAAGACUACAUGAUUGGUACAUGAAAACCUGCAGAGAGUCCGAUGGGAUGGAUACUUUGACGCUGAGAGUUAAACCGGAGCAUGACCUCGUUGGAAUUGAUCUGCUGAAUGUUCCAUUUGAGGAUUUCUUCCAGUUUUACAAUCAAGAGGCCCUCGAUAAAACAACAAUCACUUGCUACUGUCUGUAA
rnacentral:rRNA from 1 species